CCUACGGGCGGCAGCAGUGGGGAAUAUUGGACAAUGGGGGCAACCCUGAUCCAGCCAUGCCGCGUGUGUGAAGAAGGCCCUCGGGUUGUAAAGCACUUUCAGUGAGGAAGAACGCCUGGUGGUUAAUACCCAUCAGGAAAGACAUCACUCACAGAAGAAGCACCGGCUAACUCCGUGCCAGCAGCCGCGGUAAUACGGAGGGUGCGAGCGUUAAUCGGAAUUACUGGGCGUAAAGCGCGCGUAGGUGGCUUGAUAAGCCGGUUGUGAAAGCCCCGGGCUCAACCUGGGAACGGCAUCCGGAACUGUCAAGCUAGAGUGCAGGAGAGGAAGGUAGAAUUCCCGGUGUAGCGGUGAAAUGCGUAGAGAUCGGGAGGAAUACCAGUGGCGAAGGCGGACUUCUGGACUGACACUGACACUGAGGUGCGAAAGCGUGGGUAGCAAACAGGAUUAGAUACACGUGUAGUA
rnacentral:rRNA from 1 species